CAACCCAGAAUGUUCUGGAAGCUUUAACGGUUGGUGGGCAGUUGGUGCUGGUUCUGCCUGUUGCGCUGCAGCUGGGUGCUGUGGGUGCUUGCAGUGUUUAGUUCCCCUGCUCUUCCAGCCGUGGUGUAAUCGUGCUAUUUCAUUUGCCUUCUUUUUCUCAACCUUGUGAAUUCCAUGCAUUUCUUCUCAGUAAAUGCCAUGGCUUACUCCUCUUACUCCUUUGGGAAACAGGUGAUGUGAGAUGGCUGCUGUGAAGCUUGCCUGAGGAAAAGGCUGCAUUUGUUCUCCUGGGAAGAUUGUUUGCGAAAGGUUCUCUGAGCAUACAUUGUGAAAGCAAGGAACCUUGGUGAGAAGCAUGCCACUGGAACUUAACCAUGCAGGUGGUGAGAACCAGCCAGACAAGUGACAGUGCAAGAGGCGCUUCCCAUGCACCGGUGUAGUGGGCAGAGCUUGCUGCAGCUGAGGAAAUUAUUGAAUCAGCAUCACAAACCCGGGAAGCGGGGAACUGAUGGAGGAAUGCAGUAGGUCAUGGCUAAACUUCUACAUCUCUUCAGUGCUCCAGAGAGUUUCACCACUAUUUGUAAAGCCUGAAGAAAGUAAAAUUCACAAAAAUUAGAUGAGAAGAAUGCCUAUGAUCUUCAAAUCUGAGUUCAUCUAUAUGUGGACCAUGGACAGAUUUAUGAAUUUUCAGACAAAGAAAAACUCUGUGAGAGCGCAUGCUGUACUUCUGAUUCCAGCAAAUGUGCACAGCCUGCAAAAAAGGAAAUGCUGCCAUUUUCCAUGAUGAAGUAUCUUCCACUUCUGAACCGCAAUCAGCUGCCAUGGCCAUUCUUUCAGCAGGAAGCCCACCCUCGGUAUCACAAUAGCACUCCAUGCUGAUGAUCACCAGAGUCCAGUGUUCAAUUUAGAGGCAAUGUCAAAACGAGCAACAAUCGAAGAGAAACCAGCCUGGAUUGAUUUAAAGAACGGGUACCUUGAAGCUGCUUUUCAGAUGUGAAACCCAUGUUUCAGAAGUACAUUAAGAAGCUAAUUCACUCACCAAAAGCUGAAACCUAGGAACUGGCAAGGGCUAUUUUAAAUGACAUUUAUCUUCAUCUUGCAAAGCUUAGCUUUUACAAAGAGCACAAAGAAAUAAAGUCCAAAAGCAAGCAUAUGCAGAGGGCCAUUUAAGAUACCCAUCUGGAAACCUGACGAUCUGCUAUGUCUUAAAUAACGCCUCCUUCUGUGAACUUAAGAGAAAAUAGAAUCUGGUCUUUGCAAGUAGGAUUCCCAUGUGGGCUCCAGGAAGAUAUUUUAUUGUCUUUAGGGCAAGAACUAAUUCAGAUAACAGCUCUUUUAUUCAUCACCUAUGAAUCCUGACCUUGACCUAGAAAGUCUAUCCUCAGUGUUGUGUGAGGGGCAAUUAAACUUCUGACUCUGAGAAGGUGGGAAGUGAAUUCAACUAGAGCACAUACUGUUGAACAAAUUAUGGUCAGACAGCUCACUGAGAUCUUACACAAAGUAAAGACACUUCAAAAUUCAUGCUGAAGGAGCAUAACACAAAAUCUCUGAUGUUCUGUUUUCUGCCAGUAGUGUCUGACAACAAUAAAGGUUUGCGUGUCUCUAAAAA